rnacentral:rRNA from 1 species
UACGGAGGGUGCAAGCGUUGUUCGGAUUGACUGGGCGUAAAGGGCGUGUAGGCGGUCGGCCAAGUCUGAUGUGAAAGCCCGAGGCUCAGCCUCGGAAGUGCGUCGGAAACUAGUCGGCUGGAGCGCGAUAGAGGAGGGCGGAAUUCCUGGUGUAGCGGUGAAAUGCGUAGAUAUCAGGAGGAACACCGGCGGCGAAGGCGGCCCUCUGGAUCGUUGCUGACGCUGAUACGCGAAAGCGUGGGGAGCAAACAGG